AGUGAACGCUGGCGGCAGGCCUAACACAUGCAAGUCGAACGGCAGCACAGUAAGAGCUUGCUCUUACGGGUGGCGAGUGGCGGACGGGUGAGGAAUACAUCGGAAUCUACUUUUUCGUGGGGGAUAACGUAGGGAAACUUACGCUAAUACCGCAUACGACCUACGGGUGAAAGCAGGGGAUCUUCGGACCUUGCGCGAUUGAAUGAGCCGAUGUCGGACUAGCUAGUUGGCGGGGUAAAGGCCCACCAAGGCGACGAUCCGUAGCUGGUCUGAGAGGAGGAUCAGCCACACUGGAACUGAGACACGGUCCAGACUCCUACGGGAGGCAGCAGUGGGGAAUAUUGGGCAAUGGGCGCAAGCCUGAUCCAGCCAUACCGCGUGGGUGAAGAAGGCCUUCGGGUUGUAAAGCCCUUUUGUUGGGAAAGAAAAGCAGCAGGUUAAUACCCCGCUGUUCUGACGGUACCCAAAGAAUAAGCACCGGCUAACUUCGUG
rnacentral:rRNA from 1 species